AUUCCAGAGGAAAGCAAUGCAAGGCCAGCAAGCACACAUAAUGGCUUUAUAUCGGUUAAAUUGUGACUUGAUUUUAGCAAAACGGAUUACACAAAUAACCAUGAUGCCAUCAGCCUCAGCACAAGCUCUGAAAACUUGUUCUGCAAAUUCUCCCCACAAGGUGAUAUUAACCUUUUC